AACGAACGCUGGCGGCAUGCCUAACACAUGCAAGUCGAACGAGACCUUCGGGUCUAGUGGCGCACGGGUGCGUAACGCGUUGGAACCUGCCCUUAGGUUCGGAAUAACUCCCCGAAAGGGGUGCUAAUACCGGAUAAUGUCUUCGGACCAAAGAUUUAUCGCCUUUGGAUGGGCCCGCGUUGGAUUAGCUAGUUGGUAGGGUAAAAGCCUACCAAGGCGACGAUCCAUAGCUGGUCUGAGAGGAUGAUCAGCCACACUGGGACUGAGACACGGCCCAGACUCCUACGGGAAGCAGCAGUGGGGAAUAUUGGACAAUGGGCGAAAGCCUGAUCCAGCAAUGCCGCGUGAGUGAUGAAGGCCUUAGGGUUGUAAAGCUCUUUUACCCGGGAUGAUAAUGACAGUACCGGGAGAAUAAGCUCCGGCUAACUCCGUG
rnacentral:rRNA from 1 species